AAGUCGUAACAAGGUCUCCGUAGUGAACCUGCGGAGGAUCAUUACCGAGAGAGGGCGCUCGCGCGCCCGACCUCCCAACCCUCUGUCGACCGUACCGCGUUGCCUCGGGUGGCCCUCGCGGCGCCCCGAGGACGCCAAUCGAAACUCUGCGUCUCAUGCGUCGGAGUCAUUAUGUGAAUCAAUCAAACUUUCAACAACGGAUCUCUUGGUUCUGCAUCGAUGAAGAACGCAGCGAAAUGCGAUAAGUAAUGUGAAUUGCAGAAUUCAGUGAAUCAUCGAAUCUUUGAACGCACAUUGCGCCCCUGGCAUUCCGGGGGCAUGCCGUUCGAGGUCAUUACACCACUCAAGCCUGGCUUGGUAUUGGCGUCGGAGCACCCCGCGCCUCUAUGUUGUCGCUGGACGGUCUGAUCUCAGCGUGUGCAAUCAAUCGCUGUGGACGACGGACGCGCCGUAAAAUCUCAUCACAGGUUGACCUCGGAUCGGUAGGAUACCGCGUG
rnacentral:rRNA from 1 species